rnacentral:rRNA from 1 species
UACGUAGGGUGCAAGCGUUGUCCGGAAUUAUUGGGCGUAAAGAGCUCGUAGGCGGUUUGUCGCGUCGGCUGUGAAAACUCGGGGCUCAACCCCGAGCCUGCAGUCGAUACGGGCAGACUAGAGGUAGGUAGGGGAGAAUGGAAUUCCCGGUGUAGCGGUGAAAUGCGCAGAUAUCGGGAGGAACACCGGUGGCGAAGGCGGUUCUCUGGGCCUUACCUGACGCUGAGGAGCGAAAGCGUGGGGAGCGAACAGG